CCUACGGGUGGCAGCAGUGAGGAAUAUUGGUCAAUGGCCGGAAGGCUGAACCAGCCAUGCCGCGUGAAGGUCAGUGCCAUAUGGGCGUUAAACUUCUUUUGUGCGGGAGCAAUAAUGGUCACGUGUGGCCAGGCGAGGGUACCGUACGAAUAAGCAUCGGCUUACUACGUGCCAGCAGCCGCGGUAAUACGGGGGAUGCAAGCGUUAUCCGGGUUUUUUGGGGUUAAAGGGUGCGUAGGCUGUGAGGUAAGUCAGCGGUGAAAAGCCCCGGCUCAACGGGGUGAAGUGCCAUUGAUACUGCCUUGCUGGAAUGCGGAUGCCGUGGGAGGAAUGUGUGGUGUAGCGGUGAAAUGCAUAGAUAUCACACAGAACACCGAUUGCGAAGGCAUCUCACGAAUCCGCGAUUGACGCUGAUGCACGAAAGCGUGGGUAUCAAACAGGAUUAGAUACCCGGGUAGUC
rnacentral:rRNA from 1 species